UACAGAGGGUGCAAGCGUUAAUCGGAUUUACUGGGCGUAAAGCGUGUGUAGGUGGCUUCCUAAGUCGGUUGUGAAAUCCCUGGGCUCAACCUGGGAAUUGCAGUCGAUACUGGGAAGCUCGAGUUCGGUAGAGGGCGGUGGAAUUCCCGGUGUAGCGGUGAAAUGCGUAGAUAUCAGGAGGAACACCGGUGGCGAAGGCGGAUCUCUGGGCCUUACCUGACGCUGAGGCGCGAAAGCUAGGGGAGCGAACAGG
rnacentral:rRNA from 1 species